AGUAGUGUAUGCUUCUCCUAAAGACUAAGCCAUGCAUGUCUUCGAAUAAGAGGAAGCAAUUCUCUCUGAAUCUGCGAACGGCUCCGCAAACCAGUUGUAAACUAUAGCAAGCAAGCUCGGGUUUCUCUUCACGGGGAGGCUCGGGCGAUACGGAUAACCCUGGUAAUUCUGAGGCUAAUACGAGAACGCAAUACUUGGCUAACCGGGUAACUGGAAGGCUGAGAGGCGUGCACGUUGUGUCGCGAGAAAUCGCCGGGAAUGGAUGCAUGCCUGGACCGCGCCAAAGACAGAUGGGUGUUGCCUUGCCUUCACGGGUCGGGUAGUGCCUGCCUGAGCGGCUCUUGCUGUGUGCUUCUGACCUAUCAACUAGACGGCAGCGUAAAGGACAUGCUAUGGUUACAACGGGUACAGAGGAUUAGGGUUCGAUCCUGGAGAGUGGGCCUGAGAGAUUGCUCAUACUUCUAAGGAAGGCAGCAGGCGCGCAACGUUCCCCUUGUGCAAUGCAUGAGGGCGUUAGGGGACAUAUGGAUGCCUGCCCAUUGGGUGGGCAAUUCAAAUGGGUCUGUUGUAAACAGGCUC
rnacentral:rRNA from 1 species